rnacentral:rRNA from 1 species
AACGAACGUUAGCGGCGCGCCUAACACAUGCAAGUCGCACGAGAAAGGGGGCAACCCCCGGUAAAGUGGCGCACGGGUGAGUAACACGUAGGUAAUCUGCCCUCGAGUGGGGGAUAACCUUCCGAAAGGAGGGCUAAUACCGCAUGAGACCACGAGGUCGAGAGGCCAUGAGGUCAAAGCCGGCCACUUCACGAAAGCUGGCGCUUGAGGAUGAACCUGCGGCCCAUCAGCUAGUUGGUAGGGUAACGGCCUACCAAGGCAAAGACGGGUAGCUGGUCUGAGAGGAUGAUCAGCCACACUGGAACUGAGACACGGUCCAGACUCCUACGGGAGGCAGCAGUGGGGAAUCUUGCGCAAUGGGCGAAAGCCUGACGCAGCGACGCCGCGUGGGUGAUGAAGGCCUCGG